rnacentral:rRNA from 1 species
UACGUAGGGGGCAAGCGUUUGUCCGGAUUUAUUGGGCGUAAAGAGCGUGGUAGGCGGCCAGACAAGUCCGUUUGUGAAAACUAGAGGCUUAACCUCUGAGACGUCGAUGGAAACUGUUUGGCUAGAGUCCGGAAGAGGAGAAUGGAAUUCCUGGUGUAGCGGUGAAAUGCGCAGAUAGUCAGGAAGAACACCCGUGGCUAAGGCGGUUCUCUAGUACGGUACUGACGCUGAGACGCGAAAGCGUGGGGAGCGAACAGG